rnacentral:rRNA from 1 species
UACGUAGGGUGCAAGCGUUGUCCGGAAUUAUUGGGCGUAAAGAGCGUGUAGGCGGCCCGAUUAGUCCGCUGUGAAAGUUCAGGGCUCAACCCUGGAAUGCCGGUGGAUACUGUCGGGCUAGAGUCCGGAAGGGGCGAGUGGAAUUCCUGGUGUAGCGGUGAAAUGCGCAGAUAUCAGGAGGAACACCAAUAGCGAAGGCAGCUCGCUGGGACGGUACUGACGCUGAGGUGCGAAAGCGUGGGGAGCAAACAGG